GCCUAUUUGGCUCAGUGGAUAGAGCAUCGGCCUGCAGACCGAAGGGUCCCGGGUUCGAUUCCAGCUAAGGGCA
rfam:Myotis brandtii contig207395, whole genome shotgun sequence.